ensembl:lncRNA
GCAUGGAUCCUAUUCAUCCCUGGGUUUGCAGCACCUGGCUUUCUCAAGACACUCUUUCUUCCUGCUAUUUAACUUUGGGGACUGCAGGAGAGGCAUUUAAGGUGUAGAAGACAACUCCGACCCCACACUGAUCACGGAUGUUCUGCUUUUAAAGAUGAGUGAGCCAGCCAAGCUGUAAGGCUAAUCACUCUGGGAUAUCCCGUCUCGCUGCAGAAACAAAACAUGGAAAUGAAUCAGUCGAUAAAGGAUUUUCUCCUAUUAACGAUGUUGGCGAUUUUGUCCCAUGGAGGGGAAGUGGACCAUUAAGAUGAAUGUUCAAAAUCUAUAGAGAUCGCAGUUACUCCCUCACCCCCUGCAGCUGGAUGCAAACUUUUGUGUGUGUGAUAAAGAAUGUCAAGCUAAAGUUAAAUGCAUUUUAUCUAAGUAUGGUAAUAAAUCACCACCUAGAGU